rnacentral:tRNA from 1 species
ACUUAAAUAGCUUAAUAAGAGCACGAUAUUGAAGAUAUCUAGGUGAUUUCUUGAUCUUUA